rnacentral:lncRNA from 1 species
CCAGGAUAUCUAGUCAGGCUGACCACAUUAUACAAUUUCCAUUUACAUAAUCUUUCAUUCUCCUUUUCCCUCAGUCAGCAUUAUCAAUCACAUACAAACAAGCAAAACGAUAAUUUAUGCCAAACAGACAACAUACAGCAUCAAUAUCCCAGUCAUUCAAUCCAUAAUCAAUAAAACAAUAAAAUAUGCACACGAAACUAUAAAAUGAAAACAUCGAACCUCAUGCUGCAUUUAAAACUGUAAAACAGGCCAAAU